GUGAACCUGCUGCCGGAUCAUUAACG
rnacentral:rRNA from 1 species